UUUUGGCAUUCGAAGCAAGUAAAGGGAAAGGGUGUUGGUUUAAUAAGGGGACAUAAGUCUCAAUAUCAUGCCUUCAUAAUUAUCAUGAUCCGUUUUGUUAAAUUUUGUACAAUGCUUCUAGAAACAACAAUUAAAAUUUGAGAGAGUUCUUAAUCCUUUUAAGAAUAAAUGCAACUGCUUAUUGGCGAAGCCUGUCCAUCCGAUAAAUACUUAUUUCACACCACUUAUCAAUUUAAGUGUUUCUAGUUUCUAUAAUGGUUUAGGGGUUUUGAUACCAUUAAAGUAUGUCCGUCCAUUAAAUAUUUAAAAUAUUUUUUUUAUAAAAAAGAAUUACUUAUUUUCUAUUUGUUGUCAACUUAUUGUGCUUUUCUGUUAUGCCAUUGUCAAUUUGCAUAAACUACUACAACUGCUAUUUGGCUUCUCACUCUUCAAAAUUGGAUAGCUGUCAUGACUUACGAUGUUUUUGUUUAAUUGAACAGAUUACAACCUUCAACAUUUCUAUUGUUGUUCAUGGGACAGUUUCCGAGAGUAACACUUUGUUGCCUGGUGAUUCUGAUCCAUACGCAGUCCCGAAGAGCAUGGGGAUUUUUCGUUUUCUUUAAAGCCCUAAAAGUUUGACCACAAGUUCUGUAGCCCGAAGGAUAGUUACCAAUCAUGAGGCUUACAUGAAACGCAAUGCCAAAAAAGCAGAGAGUGAAAAGAAAUACUAUGAAGAGAAGACUUAUGUUGCAGGAGAGUAGGUAA